UUGAGAACAAGUUCACAAUCACAGUCCACUUGGCAUUGGAGGAAGAUGGAAUUACUCUGCUCUGCUCAGAUAACAAGUGAGAGCCAAGUUUUGUUACUCCAGCAGAGCAGAAACCAGGAACUGGACCGUGGAGGACGGAAGAUCAGAGAGCAAACAGGGUAAGCAGGUGACUGAGGGAUGCAUGCUGUGCCCUUCUGCCCUUUAGGGGAUCACAAGUCUCUGCUGUGCAUGAAAAGGGCGACAUAGAAAACAGAAUUUUACAAUUCAGUGCUUUAUAAGGUGAUGUCUAAAAACCAUACCUACAGGAACAAAUGUGGAUUUCCUUUUUUUGAAUAUGAUUCUGGGUGGGCAUAUAAGAAAUGCUGACUACCAUUACUUGCAACUGUAAAAUUAAUAAUAGAGUUGGAUCUUAUUAUGAAAAGAAAACCAGAAUUCACAGUGUUCUUGUGGUUAUAGGCCAAGAUAACCCGGGCUGAGAAAAUUUCAUGCUGACUUAGACCAGCUUUAAAAAAGAGGGAAAAGCCUUCCACCGGCUUGUCACCAAAUAAGCAUUCAUUAACCAAGCAAAGUAACUUACAAUGGUAUAUUAUUAUCUAGUGAUAAGCCAGAAAAAACCAACAAUUUCCUGAGCGCCUUGAUGUGUCAGUGUUGUACUGGGUAACAGGGCUGGUUAGGGAGAUUAUUG
rnacentral:lncRNA from 13 species